ensembl:rRNA 5S_rRNA 5S ribosomal RNA
GUACCCGGCCUCACCUCUCCGAAGGUGCCUGUUCUCAUCUGAUCUCAGAAGCCAAGCAGGGUUGGGCCUGGGUAGUACUUGGACUGGAAGGACCCAGGGAAUUUCAGUUCAUCCUGCACC